rnacentral:tRNA from 1 species
GGAGAGAUGCCGGAGGGGUUGAACGGAACAGUUUCGAAAACUGUCUAAAGAAAAAACCAAUUCUUUCAAGGGUUCGAAUCCCUUUCUCUCCA